GGCUUCGUAGUGUAGUGGUCAGCACGCUGAACGCGUAUUCCAGAGGUCCGUGGUUCGAAUCCCGGUGAGGGCA
rfam:Stegodyphus mimosarum contig55923, whole genome shotgun sequence.